AUGCAGUCGAGCGGUAAGGCCUUUCGGGGUACACGAGCGGCGAACGGGUGAGUAACACGUGGGUGAUCUGCCCUGCACUUCGGGAUAAGCCUGGGAAACUGGGUCUAAUACCGGAUAUGACCUCCUAUCGCAUGGUGGGUGGUGGAAAGAUUUAUCGGUGCAGGAUGGGCCCGCGGCCUAUCAGCUUGUUGGUGGGGUAAUGGCCUACCAAGGCGACGACGGGUAGCCGACCUGAGAGGGUGACCGGCCACACUGGGACUGAGACACGGCCCAGACUCCUACGGGAGGCAGCAGUGGGGAAUAUUGCACAAUGGGCGAAAGCCUGAUGCAGCGACGCCGCGUGAGGGAUGACGGCCUUCGGGUUGUAAACCUCUUUCAGCAGGGACGAAGCGCAAGUGACGGUACCUGCAGAAGAAGCACCGGCUAACUACGUGCCAGCAGCCGCGGUAAUACGUAGGGUGCAAGCGUUGUCCGGAAUUACUGGGCGUAAAGAGUUCGUAGGCGGUUUGUCGCGUCGUUUGUGAAAACCAGCAGCUCAACUGCUGGCUUGCAGGCGAUACGGGCAGACUUGAGUACUGCAGGGGAGACUGGAAUUCCUGGUGUAGCGGUGAAAUGCGCAG
rnacentral:rRNA from 1 species